GACGAACGCUGGCGGCGUGCCUAAUACAUGCAAGUCGAACGAGGUUCAACCGGUGGCAACACUGGUGAAGACCGAGUGGCGAACGGGUGAGUACCACGUGAGCAACCUGUCCCGAAGACUGGGAUAACACCGGGAAACCGGUGCUAAUACCAGAUGCCCUCACGAGAUCGCAUGGUCAUGUGAGGAAAUGGAUUCCGCUUCGGGAGGGGCUCGCGGCCUAUCAGUUUGUUGGUGGGGUAACGGCCUACCAAGACAUCGACGGGUAGCUGG
rnacentral:rRNA from 1 species